CUCAGAAUGAACGCUGGCGGCAUGGAUUAGGCAUGCAAGUCGAACGUGCUCCCUUCGGGGAGAAAGUGGCGAAAGGGUGAGUAACACGUGAGCAACCUGCCUCCGGAUCCGGAAUAAUCCAGGGAAACUUGGUCUAAAACCGGAUGAAGACAUUGGUCCGCAUGGUCUAAUGUUAAAAUAUUUAUAGUCCGGAGAGGGGCUCGCGGCCCAUUAGCUUGUUGGCGGGGUAAUGGCCCACCAAGGCUACGACGGGUAGGUGGUCUGAGAGGAUGGUCACCCACACUGGGACUGAGACACUGCCCAGACUCCUACGGGAGGCUGCAGUCGAGAAUCUUCCGCAAUGGGCGCAAGCCCUGACGGAGCGAUGCCGCGUGAGGGAUGAAGGCCUUCGGGUUGUAAACCUCUGUCAUCCGGGACGAAAACAAUGACGGUACCGGAAAAGGAAGCCACGGCUAACCACGUGCCAGCCGCCGC
rnacentral:rRNA from 1 species